rnacentral:rRNA from 1 species
UAAACAUUGAUAGUAUGUCACAUUUACUAUCCGCCCGGGAACUACGAGCAUCAGCUUAAAACCCAAAGGACUUGGCGGUGCUUAAGAUCCACCUAGAGGAGCCUGUUCUAGAACCGAUAAUCCCCGUUCAACCUCACCCUCUCUUGUUUCUUCCGCCUAUAUACCGCCGUCGUCAGCUUACCCUGUGAGGGUCUAAUAGUAAGCAAAAUUGGCACAGCCCAAAACGUCAGGCCGAGGUGUAGCGUAUGAGAGGGGAAAAAAUGGGCUACAUUUCCUAAAAAUAGGAAAUACGAAUACUGUACUGAAACGUACAUUUGAAGGAGGAUUUAGCAGUAAGCAGAAAAUAGAGUGUUCUGCUGAAAUCGGCCCUAAAGCGCGCACACACCGCCCGUCACUCUCCCCAAGCUUCAACCUUACUAUAAUUAAUAAAAUAAUACUGCAAAGGGGAGGCAAGUCGUAACAUGGUAAGUGUACCGGAAGGUGCACUUGGACAAU